GUGGGAGGGGAGAGCCGUGUCAAAGUGACCCGGGAGAGCGCGCAGCAAGCAACGACGUUUUUGCUGAGGGAGCAUGAAAUGCUGGAACGGUGCAGAGUCCGGGGAUUGAAAAGAAGGCCUGCCUAGGAAUGGAGACCCUCCCCACCAUGUGCUUAGGAUGGGGGAUAGGGGAGCUCUACACUGUGGAGUCUCCCACCCCCAGGUUUCCCCAUCUCCACCCCCACCAGGAGCAGAGAGGACCUGACUGAAGCCAUCCAGACUCGCACAAGUAUUUCCUUGGCAGCAUCCCCUGCCUGAGUGCUCCUCCUCCCUGCAUUCCCCCAGACAAAGGUCAGCACUAGAGGGAGUAGAGAGAACCUAAGGCAACAGAACACUGGCCUGGAAUUGUGGAUACCUAGGUUUGAACGCAAGAUUCGCUCCUCAUUACCUGAGUGAUUUAAGACAACUGACCACCCCACCUGGAACACUAGCUUUAUUCUCUGUAACUGGUACCUAUGGCUUGGUGAGAAUCAAACUAGACAAUGUACACCCAGUCACGUAGCCCAGUGUCAGCCAGGCAGUCCUGUAGAUACGUGUUCUUUCUGCCUUUUUUUUUUUUUUUUUAAGAUUAUCCAAUUCCAAGAGAGGAGGGGGCUGGAUUGGCAGGACAAUUUGAGAUGGUUUGGAAGAGGGGGAAUACCUAUCUUGACCUCCUUCUCUCUUUUCUGUCCAUGAAUUUGCCUUCCUCCAAUCCUGUGACCACUUACGCCUAAGGCCACUCAUUCCAAACAACUAGCUUGGUCAGAUUCCAUGCUGACCAACACAAUGGUGAUCAUCUGGGUGGACAGGGGGACUGCAACCCACCCUAUAAAGGUCUUUGCCUCCUGUGAAUCUGAGAUUUCCCUCUCCUGGAUUACACAUGUGGAAGGUAGAAGCUUAGGAAAGAAGGAAAAACUGCCUUACUUGAGCAUGCACUAGUGCCAGGCACUGCCCUAGGCCUUUUACACCGGCCAACUCAUUUACCUUUCAUGAGGACCUUUGGAAGAAGGUGCUAUUACCUCCAUUGAACAAGUAGGAAAACUGAAGUUCAGAGAUGAUAAUAAAUUUGAACUUGCCUGUAAAA